rnacentral:ncRNA from 1 species
CUAGAUAAAGCCAAACCUGCCGCGAGGCAGCGACGGAAAGCCACGGGUCUCAAUAAGGAUGAAGAGACGGCCGGGUUGCCCCUG